GUUCGAUUAUGGCUCAGAUUGAACGCUGGCGGGAUGCUACACAUGCAAGUCGGGCAACGCUGGACUUUCUGGUGGCGAGUGGCGAACGGGUGAGUAAUGUAUCGGAACGUGCCCUGAAAUGGCGGGGGAUAACUACGCGAAAGCGUAGCUAUGCCGCAUACGCCCUUCGGGGCGAAAGCGGGGGACCUUCGGGCCUCGCACCCCCAGAAGCGGCCGAUAUCGAGUUAGCUAGUUGGUGGGGUAACGGCUCACCAAGGCGACGAUCCGUAGCGCUGGUUUGAGAGGACGACCAGCCGCACUGGGACGGAGACACGGCCCAGACUCCUACAGGAGGCAGCGUGGGGGUACGGGCAAUGGGAAGCCACAAUCCAGCCAUCCCGCGUGUGCGAUAGAAGGCCUUCGGGUUAUAGCACUUUUGGCAGGAAAGAAACGGCACGGGAUAUUACCCCGUGCAACUGACGACACCUGCAAGUCACCGGCUAACUACGUGCCAGCAGCCGCGGUAAUACGUAAGUGCAAGCGUUAAUCGGAAUUACUGGGCGUAAAGCGUGCGCAGGCGGUUCGGAAAGAAAGAUGUGAAAUCCCAGAGCUUAACUUUGGAACUGCAUUUUAACUACCGAGCUAGAGUGUGUCAGAGGGAAGUGGAAUUCCACGCGUGUAGCAGUGAAAUGCGUAGAUAUGCGGAGGAACACCGAUAGCGAAGGCAGCCUCGGAUAACUGACGCUCAUGCGCAGCGUGGGGAGCAAAACAGGAUUAGAUACCCUGGUAGUCCACGCCUAAACGAUGUCAACUAGCUGUUGGGGCCUUCGGGCCUUGGUAGCGCAGCUAACGCGUGAAGUUGACCGCCUGGGGAGUACGGUCGCAAGAUUAAAACUCAAAGGAAUUGACGGGGACCCGCACAAGCGGUAGAUGAUGUGGAUUAAUUCGAUGCAACGCCUUCUACCCUUGACAUGUCUGGAAUCCCGAAUUUGGGAGUGCUCGCAAGAGAACCGGAACACAGGUGCUGCAUGGCUGUCGUCAGCUCGUGUCGUGAGAUGUUGGGUUAAGUCCCGCAACAGCGCAACCCUUGUCGUGGAUUUGAGGGCACUCUAAUGAGACUGCCGGUGACAAACCGGAGGAAGAUGAGGAUGACGUCAAGUCCUCAUGGCCCUUAUGGGUAGGGCUUCACCACGUCAUACAAUGGUCGGGACAGAGGGUCGCCAACCGCGAGGGGGAGCCAAUCCCAGAAACCCCGAUCGUAGUCCGGAUCGCAGUCUGCAACUCGACUGCGUGAAGUCGGAAUCGCUAGUAAUCGCGGAUCAGCAUGUCGCGGUGAAUACGUUCCCGGGUCUUGUACACACACCGCCCGUCACACCAUGGGAGUGGGUUUUACCAGAAGUAGUUAGCCUAACCGUAAGGAGGGCGAUUACCACAGUAGGAUUCAUGACUGGGGUGAAGUCGUAACAAGGUAG
rnacentral:rRNA from 1 species